UCCAGCCCCUACCCGCGCGCCGAGGAGCAGCCGCGGAAAUGGGCGGGCGAUUGGUCAGGCCUGUUAAAGGGGCCGCCGCCCACGAGGCCCGGGAGAGGGACUGCGGCGGCGUUACCGGGAAGAGUCUGGAGUGGAGGGCUGCAGAAGCUGAAGCUCACAGAGGAUUGGUAAUGUGUCCAAGAGCACAAGACCGGCGCCAGAAAGAGCCAGCAUUCAUGACGCUGAUGGCCAGACCCCUCCUGACCGCCUGCUCCGGUGCCUGCCCAAUCGCCCCUCCUUGCUGCCAGAAACAGGAUGGAUAACUUCCAAAGGCAAAAGAAGCCAAUUGCACUGAUCCUCACCAAAAGACCGUGUGGUAGAGCAGGACGGCCUUGAAGUUCCAUUGCUCUCAUUGACCAUCUGUUUGACCUUGAAUAAGACAGAUCAUUAAAUCCCCUUGAGCCUCUGAUUGCUCAUCUAUAAAAUGGGAUAAUAACAAGUUCUGCCUUCUGGGGCUGGCAUGAAAACCAAAUCAAAUAAAGAGUAUGUCUGAA